AAGCGUGUCAUCAUGACUUUGAAUACCAUUCUCUGUGGUAGCCAACAAACAUCCCCUAAUUCCCUGUCCGGUCCGAGAGAGCCAAUCAUCACAAAGCAUUACC